UGCAGUCGAGCGGCAGCGGGAAGAUAGCUUGCUAUCUUUGCCGGCGAGCGGCGGACGGGUGAGUAAUGCCUAGGGAUCUGCCCAGUCGAGGGGGAUAACAGUUGGAAACGACUGCUAAUACCGCAUACGCCCUACGGGGGAAAGGAGGGGACCUUCGGGCCUUCCGCGAUUGGAUGAACCUAGGUGGGAUUAGCUAGUUGGUGAGGUAAUGGCUCACCAAGGCGACGAUCCCUAGCUGUUCUGAGAGGAUGAUCAGCCACACUGGGACUGAGACACGGCCCAGACUCCUACGGGAGGCAGCAGUGGGGAAUAUUGCACAAUGGGGGAAACCCUGAUGCAGCCAUGCCGCGUGUGUGAAGAAGGCCUUCGGGUUGUAAAGCACUUUCAGUAGGGAGGAAAGGUAGCAGCUUAAUACGCUGUUGCUGUGACGUUACCUACAGAAGAAGGACCGGCUAACUCCGUGCCAGCAGCCGCGGUAAUACGGAGGGUCCGAGCGUUAAUCGGAAUUACUGGGCGUAAAGCGUGCGCAGGCGGUUUGUUAAGCGAGAUGUGAAAGCCCCGGGCUCAACCUGGGAAUUGCAUUUCGAACUGGCGAACUAGAGUCUUGUAGAGGGGGGUAGAAUUCCAGGUGUAGCGGUGAAAUGCGUAGAGAUCUGGAGGAAUACCGGUGGCGAAGGCGGCCCCCUGGACAAAGACUGACGCUCAGGCAC
rnacentral:rRNA from 1 species